GGGAGUGAAGCUCGAGUGGACGAGCGCCGGUCUCCAAAGCCGGAGGCUCCAGGUUCGAGGCGUGGCGCUCCCGCCA
rnacentral:tRNA from 2 species